GAUUGAACGCUAGCGGGAUGCUUUACACAUGCAAGUCGAACGGCAGCGCGGACUUCGGUCUGGCGGCGAGUGGCGAACGGGUGAGUAAUAUAUCGGAACGUGCCCAGUAGCGGGGGAUAACUACGCGAAAGCGUGGCUAAUACCGCAUACGCCCUACGGGGGAAAGGGGGGGAUUCUUCGGAACCUCUCACUAUUGGAGCGGCCGAUAUCAGAUUAGCUAGUUGGUGAGGUAAAGGCUCACCAAGGCGACGAUCUGUAGCUGGUUUGAGAGGACGACCAGCCACACUGGGACUGAGACACGGCCCAGACUCCGUACGGGAGCAGCAGUA
rnacentral:rRNA from 1 species